UACACCUUCAACUCACACUGAAAGUUGU
rnacentral:piRNA from 1 species